UGGGGAAUAUUGCACAAUGGGCGCAAGCCUGAUGCAGCCAUGCCGCGUGUAUGAAGAAGGCCUUCGGGUUGUAAAGUACUUUCAGCGGGGAGGAAGGGAGUAAAGUCAAUACCUUUGCUCAUUGACGUUACCCGCAGAAGAAGCACCGGCUAACUCCGUGCCAGCAGCCGCGGUAAUACGGAGGGUGCAAGCGUUAAUCGGAAUUACUGGGCGUAAAGCGCACGCAGGCGGUUUGUUAAGUCAGAUGUGAAAUCCCCGGGCUCAACCUGGGAACUGCAUCUGAUACUGGCAAGCUUGAGUCUCGUAGAGGGGGGUAGAAUUCCAGGUGUAGCGGUGAAAUGCGUAGAGAUCUGGAGGAAUACCGGUGGCGAAGGCGGCCCCCUGGACGAAGACUGACGCUCAGGUGCGAAAGCGUGGGGAGCAAACAGG
rnacentral:rRNA from 1 species